ACUCCUACGGGAGGCAGCAGUGAGGAAUAUUGCGCAAUGGCCGAAAGGCUGACGCAGCGACGCCGCGUGAGGGAUGAAGUCCGUUAGGAUGUAAACCUCUUUUGCAGGGGAUGAAACCGCCGCUACAGGCGGCGGAUGACCGUACCCUGCGAAUAAGGAUCGGCUAACUACGUGCCAGCAGCCGCGGUAAUACGUAGGAUCCGAGCGUUGUCCGGAAUUACUGGGUGUAAAGGGCGUGUAGGUGGGUCUUUAAGUCGGUGGUGAAAUCUUGCGGCUCAACCGCAAAACUGCCGUCGAUACUGGGGACCUUGAGUGCGGAAGAGGGAAAUGGAAUUCAUGGUGUAGCGGUGAAAUGUGUAGAUAUCAUGAAGAACACCAGUUGCGAAGGCGGUUUCCUGGUCCGCUACUGACACUGAGGCGCGAAAGCGUGGGGAGCAAACAGGAUUAGAUACCCUGGUAGUCCACGCCCUAAACGAUGGGUACUAGGUGCUGGGCCGCAAGGUUCAGUGCCAAAGCUAACGCAUUAAGUACCCCACCUGGGGA
rnacentral:rRNA from 1 species